rnacentral:rRNA from 1 species
CUACGGGGGGCACCAGGCGAGAAAACUUUGCAAUGUGCGAAAGCACGACAAGGUUAAUCCGAGUGGUUUGUGCUAAACGAACCUUUUGACAGUCCUAGAAACACUGUUGAAUAAGGGGUGGGCAAGUUCUGGUGUCGGCCGCCGCGGUAAAACCAGCACCUCAAGUGGUCAGGAUGAUUAUUGGGCCUAAAGCAUCCGUAGCCGGCUCUGUAAGUUUUCGGUUAAAUCUGUACGCUCAACGUACAGGCUGCCGGGAAUACUGCAGAGCUAGGGAGUGGGAGAGGUAGACGGUACUCGGUAGGAAGGGGUAAAAUCCUUUGAUCUAUUGAUGACCACCUGUGGCGAAGGCGGUCUACCAGAACACGUCCGACGGUGAGGGAUGAAAGCUGGGGGAGCAAACCGGAUUAGAUACCCUUGUAGUC